rnacentral:rRNA from 1 species
UACGUAGGGUGCAAGCGUUAAUCGGAAUUACUGGGCGUAAAGCGUGCGCAGGCGGUGAUGUAAGACAGUUGUGAAAUCCCCGGGCUCAACCUGGGAACUGCAUCUGUGACUGCAUCGCUGGAGUGCGGCAGAGGGGGAUGGAAUUCCGCGUGUAGCAGUGAAGUGCGUAGAUAUGCGGAGGAACACCGAUGGCGAAGGCAAUCCCCUGGGCCUGCACUGACGCUCAUGCACGAAAGCGUGGGGAGCAAACAGG